AGAAACCAGUACCGUGCCCAGUACCAUCAUAACAACAACUACAGAAGACACAACCACUCCAGAAACAGAAACCAGUACCGUGCCCAGUACCAUCAUAACAACAACUACAGAAGACACAACCACUCCAGAAACAGAAACCAGUACCGUGCCCAGUACCAUCAUAACAACAACUACAGAAGACACAACC